rnacentral:rRNA from 1 species
AUACGUAGGGGGCGAGCGUUGUCCGGAAUGAUUGGGCGUAAAGGGCGCGUAGGCGGCCCGGUAAGUCUGGAGUGAAAGUCCUGUUUUUAAGAUGGGAAUUGCUUUGGAUACUGUCGGGCUUGAGUGCAGGAGAGGUAAGUGGAAUUCCCAGUGUAGCGGUGAAAUGCGUAGAGAUUGGGAGGAACACCAGUGGCGAAGGCGACUUACUGGACUGUAACUGACGCUGAGGCGCGAAAGUGUGGGGAGCAAACAGGAUUAGAUACCCUGGUAGUCCACACUGUAAACGAUGAAUGCUAGGUGUAGGGGGUAUCGACCCCUUCUGUGCCGCAGUCAACACAAUAAGCAUUCCGCCUGGGGAGUACGGCCGCAAGGUUGAAACUCAAAUGAACUGACGGG